rnacentral:rRNA from 1 species
GAUGAACGCUGGCGGCGUGCCUAAUACAUGCAAGUCGAGCGAAUGGAUUAAGAGCUUGCUCUUAUGAAGUUAGCGGCGGACGGGUGAGUAACACGUGGGUAACCUGCCCAUAAGACUGGGAUAACUCCGGGAAACCGGGGCUAAUACCGGAUAACAUUUUGAACCGCAUGGUUCGAAAUUGAAAGGCGGCUUCGGCUGUCACUUAUGGAUGGACCCGCGUCGCAUUAGCUAGUUGGUGAGGUAGCGGCUCACCAAGGCAACGAUGCGUAGCCGACAUGAGAGGGUGAUCGGCGACACUGGGACUGAGCCACGUCCCAGACUCCUGCGGGAGGCAGCAGUAGGGAAUCUUCCGCAAUGGACGAAAGUCUGACGGAGCAACGCCGCGUGAGUGAUGAAGGCUUUCGGGUCGUAAAACUCUGUUGUUAGGGAAGAACAAGUGCUAGUUGAAUAAGCUGGCACCUUGACGGUACCUAACCAGAAAGCCACGGCUAACUACGUGCCAGCAGCCGCGGUAA